AGUGAACGCUGGCGGCAGGCCUAACACAUGCAAGUCGAACGGCAGCACAGGAGAGCUUGCUCUCUGGGUGGCGAGUGGCGGACGGGUGAGGAAUACAUCGGAAUCUACCUUUUCGUGGGGGAUAACGUAGGGAAACUUACGCUAAUACCGCAUACGACCUACGGGUGAAAGUGGGGGACCGCAAGGCCUCACGCGAUUAGAUGAGCCGAUGUCCGAUUAGCUAGUUGGCGGGGUAAUGGCCCACCAAGGCGACGAUCGGUAGCCGGUCUGAGAGGAUGAUCAGCCACACUGGAACUGAGACACGGUCCAGACUCCUACGGGAGGCAGCAGUGGGGAAUAUUGGACAAUGGGCGCAAGCCUGAUCCAGCCAUACCGCGUGGGUGAAGAAGGCCUUCGGGUUGUAAAGCCCUUUUGUUGGGAAAGAAAUCCUAUCGGUUAAUAACCGGUGGGGAUGACGGUACCCAAAGAAUAAGCACCGGCUAACUUCGUGCCAGCAGCCGCCGUAAGAC
rnacentral:rRNA from 1 species